GUCGAGCGGACAGAAGGGAGCUUGCUCCCGGAUGUUAGCGGCGGACGGGUGAGUAACACGUGGGUAACCUGCCUGUAAGACUGGGAUAACUCCGGGAAACCGGAGCUAAUACCGGAUAGUUCCUUGAACCGCAUGGUUCAAGGAUGAAAGACGGUUUCGGCUGUCACUUACAGAUGGACCCGCGGCGCAUUAGCUAGUUGGUGGGGUAAUGGCUCACCAAGGCGACGAUGCGUAGCCGACCUGAGAGGGUGAUCGGCCACACUGGGACUGAGACACGGCCCAGACUCCUACGGGAGGCAGCAGUAGGGAAUCUUCCGCAAUGGACGAAAGUCUGACGGAGCAACGCCGCGUGAGUGAUGAAGGUUUUCGGAUCGUAAAGCUCUGUUGUUAGGGAAGAACAAGUGCGAGAGUAACUGCUCGCACCUUGACGGUACCUAACCAGAAAGCCACGGCUAACUACGUGCCAGCAGCCGCGGUAAUACGUAGGUGGCAAGCGUUGUCCGGAAUUAUUGGGCGUAAAGGGCUCGCAGGCGGUUUCUUAAGUCUGAUGUGAAAGCCCCCGGCUCAACCGGGGAGGGUCAUUGGAAACUGGGAAACUUGAGUGCAGAAGAGGAGAGUGGAAUUCCACGUGUAGCGGUGAAAUGCGUAGAGAUGUGGAGGAACACCAGUGGCGAAGGCGACUCUCUGGUCUGUAACUGACGCUGAGGAGCGAAAGCGUGGGGAGCGAACAGGAUUAGAUACCCUGGUAGUCCACGCCGUAAACGAUGAGUGCUAAGUGUUA
rnacentral:rRNA from 1 species